UGGGAACUGCAAUGUCCUACCUGCUAACU
rnacentral:piRNA from 1 species